rnacentral:rRNA from 1 species
UACAGAGGUCUCAAGCGUUGUUCGGAUUCAUUGGGCGUAAAGGGUGCGUAGGUGGCGUCGUAAGUCAGGUGUGAAAUUUCGGAGCUUAACUUCGAAACUGCAUUUGAUACUGCGGUGCUUGAGGACUGGAGAGGAGACUGGAAUUUACGGUGUAGCAGUGAAAUGCGUAGAGAUCGUAAGGAAGACCAGUGGCGAAGGCGGGUCUCUGGACAGUUCCUGACGCUGAGGCACGAAGGUCAGGGGAGCAAACGGG